rnacentral:rRNA from 1 species
GUUUGAUCCUGGCUCGAAUGAACGCUGGCGGCAGGCCUAACACAUGCAAGUCGAACGGAGUUAUAUUGUAGCUUGCUAUGGUAUAACUUAGUGGCAGACGGGUGAGUAAUGUAUAGGAAUCUACCUAGUAGUACGGAAUAAUUGUUGGAAACGGCAACUAAUACCGUAUACGCCCUACGGGGGAAAAAUUUAUUGCUAUUAGAUGAGCCUAUAUUAGAUUAGCUAGUUGGUGGAGUAAUAGCCUACCAAGGCAAUGAUCUAUAGCUGAUCUGAGAGGAUGAUCAGCCACACUGGAACUGAGAUACGGUCCAGACUCCUACGGGAGGCAGCAGUGGGGAAUAUUGGACAAUGGGCGAAAGCCUGAUCCAGCCAUGCCGCAUGAGUGAAGAAGGCCUUUGGGUUGUAAAGCUCUUUUAGUGAGGAAGAUAAUGACGGUACUCACAGAAGAAGUCCUGGCUAACUCCGUGCCAGCAGCCGCGGUAAUACGGAGAGGGCUAGCGUUAUUCGGAAUUAUUGGGCGUAAAGGGCGCGUAGGCGGAUUAGUAAGUUAAAAGUGAAAUCCCAAGGCUCAACCUUGGAAUUGCUUUUAAAACUGCUAAUCUAGAGAUUGAAAGAGGAUAGAGGAAUUCCUAGUGUAGAGGUGAAAUUCGUAAAUAUUAGGAGGAACACCAGUGGCGAAGGCGUCUAUCUGGUUCAAAUCUGACGCUGAGGCGCGAAGGCGUGGGGAGCAAACAGGAUUAGAUACCCUGGUAGUCCACGCUGUAAACGAUGAAUGUUAAAUAUGGGAAGUUUUACUUUCUGUAUUACAGCUAACGCGUUAAACAUUCCGCCUGGGGACUACGGUCGCAAGAUUAAAACUCAAAGGAAUUGAC